UGGUUUAGAUCACGUUUAGAUGGCAUUUACGUCGAUCUAAACGUUUAGGAAUCUAAUCUAAACGUGUUCUGAAUAUUUAAUUUGCGUUGAAAAGCUAAAUCAAACAAUUUCCGUACGGAACUAACUAAAUUAAAUUAGUUUCUUACAAAAUGUGUCGGACAUUUUGAAUCUUUCAUUAUGAUUAAAAAUUAGAGUUUCUUAUUAAUCUUAAAUUAUGUAAUAAAGGUUUAGAAAAAAUAAAAGAAAUUUGUUUUUAGUAUUAUAUUGUGGCUAAUGAAGGAGUUAAAAAGUCCUUCCAGUCAGUUGCAACAACAAUUAAAGCAGCAGGAAACAGCCAAGUACACAUGCAAGUGAUUGUUAUGAGGAUUGCAAAACUUUUAAAUAUCAGAAACUGAAGAAAGCAUUCAUAAUCAGCAGAUAUCAAAAAAGCGCAAAAGUACUGAUUUUACAACUCUUUUAAAGUUGAGGAAGAAUUUUAUGUUAAUGUUAAUGCAAAAGGUACGAAUAUUGACAGGUUAGCUAAUUUGAUGUAACAAUAAACAUGAAAUAAAGUUUGUGAAGACCUUAGUGCCAAAAAUACUUGCAUGCAUUAUUCAUGCAUGCUGUAUUAUAAUAUAGCAUGCAUGCAUGAUGCAUUUAAGUAUAAAAAAAAGUUACAAAUGUUUAAUUAUACAAAAAGAUUAUGGUUGUGGUACUGCAAGUAUAUUCAAUUGAUUAUGCAAGUAAGUUGUCCUACUUUACAUCUUUGAAGACUAAUAAUAAUUGUAAUGAACAUAUCUCAGACAAUAUACACUCGGAUUUAUAUUUUAGUUAAACCAUCACCACUUCCACAGCCACCUUGUCUCAAGCAUUAAAUCGCAUUCUAAGAUAUCUUUAUUCAAAUUAAUUGUGACUACUUUACCAAAAGAUUCUAGAAUGGACCAAUCAAAAAAGAGAUUGUAUGACUUCGGUAUCCGCAAUACGGUAUCGUGCAUUGAUUUCCAUCUUAGAAUGGCUCUCUUCCGUAUAGGUGGAAAUAGGAUAGGUUGUGUCCUUUUUUCUAGUUCUUAAGACGAAGAGGCUUAAUCGGUUCAAACAAAGAUGACGAUGAUCAUUAUGGAGCCGAUCAUGAUGACGAAUACGAUAAUGCAUAUAAUAAUAAAUAAAAUGUUUUUACUUGUAUCUUAGACUUAUAUAAAUAAAAAAUUAUUUGUUUAA
rnacentral:lncRNA from 1 species